UACAGAGGUCUCAAGCGUUGUUCGGAUUCAUUGGGCGUAAAGGGUGCGUAGGUGGCGCCGUAAGUCAGGUGUGAAAUUUCGGAGCUUAACUCCGAAACUGCAUUUGAUACUGCGGUGCUUGAGGACUGGAGAGGAGACUGGAAUUUACGGUGUAGCAGUGAAAUGCGUAGAGAUGUGGAGGAACACCAGUGGCGAAGGCGACUCUUUGGCCUGUAACUGACGCUGAGGCGCGAAAGCGUGGGGAGCAAACAGG
rnacentral:rRNA from 1 species